AGAGUUUGAUCAUGGCUCAGAACGAACGCUGGCGGCGUGCCUAACACAUGCAAGUCGAGCGAGAAAGUUCCUUCGGGAACGAGUACAGCGGCGCACGGGUGAGUAACACGUAGGUAACCUUCCCUCGAGCCCGGAAUAACCCGUCGAAAGAUGGGCUAAUACCGGAUGGGACCACGGUGGUCACGGCCACCGCGGUGAAAGAUGGCCUCUGUUCACAAGCUAUUACUCGGGGAUGGGCCUGCGCGCCAUUAGCUAGUUGGUGAGGUAACGGCUCACCAAGGCGAUGAUGGCUAGCUGGUCUGAGAGGAUGACCAGCCACACUGGGACUGACACACGGCCCAGACUCCUACGGGAGGCAGCAGUGGGGGAUAUUGCGCAAUGGGCGAAAGCCUGACGCAGCGACGCCGCGUGGGUGAUGAAGGCCUUCGGGUCGUAAAGCCCUGUCGAGGGGGACGAAUAAGCCCGGCCCUAAUACGGUCGGGCCCUGACGGUACCCCUAAAGGAAGCACCGGCUAACUCCGUGCCAGCAGCCGCGGUAAUACGGAGGGUGCAAGCGUUGUUCGGAAUUACUGGGCGUAAAGGGCGUGUAGGCGGUCCGCUAAGUCUGAUGUGAAAGCCCGAGGCUUACCCUCGGAAGUGCAUUGGAGACUGGCGGACUAGAGUCCCGGAGAGGAGGGUGGAAUUCCUGGUGUAGCGGUGAAAUGCGUAGAUAUCAGGAGGAACACCGGUGGCGAAGGCGGCCCUCUGGACGGUGACUGACGCUGAGACGCGAAAGCGUGGGGAGCAAACAGGAUUAGAUACCCUGGUAGUCCACGCUGUAAACGAUGAGCACUAGGUGUCGCGGGUAUUGACCCCUGCGGUGCCGACGCUAACGCAUUAAGUGCUCUGCCUGGGGAGUACGGUCGCAAGAUUAAAACUCAAAGGAAUUG
rnacentral:rRNA from 1 species